ensembl:lincRNA 4930573C15Rik RIKEN cDNA 4930573C15 gene
UCCCUGGAUGCAAGGUCUCAGAACGCAGCAGUUCUGAAUCCAUCUGUCUGCAAUAUCCCCAGCCACCAAAGCUAGAUCCCUUCCCUUUUAGGUCUCCUGCUCAAAGGGUCGUGUUCAGUACAAGGAUUCCAACAAAUCCCGGCCUCUACCGUGAGCUCCGGUUUUGACAGUGAGGCGACCAGCUCUGAGGAUACACACCACUGUUAAUUCCUGCAGUCCACAAGCCAAUUCCCGCUCAACGGAAUUUUUCUUUUGCCAUGGCUUGUUUUAUUUUAGGCACCUUCCACAAUAAGAAGUAGGAUCCUAUGGUUGCCUUUCUGCCUUUGUUAUCACUUCUGCCUGACUGUGCUAGAGUCUUCAAAACGAGAUUUGCUAGAAGCCACAGAAGCAAGGAGCGCAUCUUGUAAGGAAGUCAUGGCAACAGGAAGUGUCUGAGGCUGCGGGGAGCAGGUGGGGUCCUGACGGUGUGAGGCCUGAGUCCUCAGCCAGCACCACAUCGCCUGUGUGUCAGGAGAAGAUUCCCAGUGAGGUUGGUACAUGCCCCGACUGUAGAAACAGACUGUGUGGUGAAGAGGGACGUGCCUCAAGCUAUGGUGCUUACCCAAGAGCCCAGAUGUGGGGUCACCCUGCUGCCUCAGCUAUCAGAACCUUAAGGGUUCCCAGUGAAGAUGAAAGAAAGACAAAUAAUAAAGACCAUUUGAUCCAAGUGCUGAAGAUUUUUUACAGAUAUGCCACUUCAGGUCUCUGCUCAAGGAUAAACUAUUUCAAAACUCUCUA